UUGCUACAGCAGCAAAUAUACUAGAAUUGGAAAAAUGCAUAGAAAAUUGGCCAGGCCUUGCACAAGAAUGUUAUACACAUUUACGAAUAAUUUCUAUCUUUC
ensembl:snRNA U6 U6 spliceosomal RNA